rnacentral:rRNA from 1 species
GACGAACGCUGGCGGCGUGCUUAACACAUGCAAGUCGAACGGAAAGGCCCUGCUUUUGUGGGGUGCUCGAGUGGCGAACGGGUGAGUAACACGUGAGUAACCUGCCCUUGACUUUGGGAUAACUUCAGGAAACUGGGGCUAAUACCGGAUAGGAGCUCCUGCUGCAUGGUGGGGGUUGGAAAGUUUCGGCGGUUGGGGAUGGACUCGCGGCUUAUCAGCUUGUUGGUGGGGUAGUGGCUUACCAAGGCUUUGACGGGUAGCCGGCCUGAGAGGGUGACCGGCCACAUUGGGACUGAGAUACGGCCCAGACUCCUACGGGAGGCAGCAGUGGGGAAUAUUGCACAAUGGGCGGAAGCCUGAUGCAGCAACGCCGCGUGCGGGAUGACGGCCUUCGGGUUGUAAACCGCUUUCGCCCGUGACGAAGCGUGAGUGACGGUAAUGGGUAAAGAAGCACCGGCUAACUACGUGCCAGCAGCCGCGGUGAUACGUAGGGUGCGAGCGUUGUCCGGAUUUAUUGGGCGUAAAGGGCUCGUAGGUGGUUGAUCGCGUCGGAAGUGUAAUCUUGGGGCUUAACCCUGAGCGUGCUUUCGAUACGGGUUGACUUGAGGAAGGUAGGGGAGAAUGGAAUUCCUGGUGGAGCGGUGGAAUGCGCAGAUAUCAGGAGGAACACCAGUGGCGAAGGCGGUUCUCUGGGCCUUUCCUGACGCUGAGGAGCGAAAGCGUGGGGAGCGAACAGGCUUAGAUACCCUGGUAGUCCACGCUGUAAACGGUGGGUACUAGGUGUGGGGUCCAUUCCACGGGUUCCGUGCCGUAGCUAACGCUUUAAGUACCCCGCCUGGGGAGUACGGCCGCAAGGCUAAAACUCAAAGGAAUUGACGGGGCCCCGCACAAGCGGCGGAGCAUGCGGAUUAAUUCGAUGCAACGCGUAGAACCUUACCUGGGUUUGACAUGGAUCGGGAGCGCUCAGAGAUGGGUGUGCCUCUUUUGGGGUCGGUUCACAGGUGGUGCAUGGCUGUCGUCAGCUCGUGUCGUGAGAUGUUGGGUUAAGUCCCGCAACGAGCGCAACCCUUGUUCACUGUUGCCAGCACGUUAUGGUGGGGACUCAGUGGAGACCGCCGGGGUCAACUCGGAGGAAGGUGGGGAUGACGUCAAGUCAUCAUGCCCCUUAUGUCCAGGGCUUCACGCAUGCUACAAUGGCUGGUACAGAGAGUGGCGAGCCUGUGAGGGUGAGCGAAUCUCGGAAAGCCGGUCUCAGUUCGGAUUGGGGUCUGCAACUCGACCUCAUGAAGUCGGAGUCGCUAGUAAUCGCAGAUCAGCAACGCUGCGGUGAAUACGUUCCCGGGGCU